CUCUUGGAUUGUUUCACCGGAUUCCUUGGAUUCCUUGGAUUGGGUUUCAGCUUUCUCCUGAGUCUCAAUGAGCUUCAUUGCCAUCCAGAUUCUGAAUUCGAUGUCUGUCAUUUCAGCCUGGUUAAAAACCAUUGUAGGAAAGCUAAUGUGAUUAUUUGAAGGAAUUAUGCUGGAGCAGUGCUGGAAAGAAUGACAGGAAGCGUUCUUCCUUGUACUCUUCAAGAAAGAAGAAUGACCCAGGACUCUGGAGAUGACUGCAACAAGAAAGAGGAGAAAGUGGUGAAGUCUGAUGGCAUGAGAUGCAAAGCCAAAGGACAUUAGGAAGGAGGAAGAAAUUUCUGGAAGAAUCAAUGAGGAGCAAUGAAACAAUCAAUGGGAACUAAUAUCAGAAAUGUGAGACAGCAGGGGUAGAAAUACCUACCUUGAAGAGUUGUUUUGAGGAUUAGUCAAAGCAACAUACAGGAAGUUCCUGGCACAUGGGCAUUAAUUCCAUCAAGAGGCCGGGCGCGG
rnacentral:lncRNA from 1 species